rnacentral:rRNA from 1 species
ACCUACGGGGCGCAGCAGUGGGGAAUAUUGCACAAUGGGGGAAACCCUGAUGCAGCAACGCCGCGUGAGUGAAGAAGUCAUUCGUGAUGUAAAGCUCUAUCAGCAGGGAAGAAAAUGACGGUACCUGAGUAAGAAGCCCCGGCUAACUACGUGCCAGCAGCCGCGGUAAUACGUAGGUGGCAAGCGUUGUCCGGAUUUACUGGGUGUAAAGGGCGUGCAGCCGGAGAGACAAGUCAGAUGUGAAAUCCACGGGCUCAACCCGUGAACUGCAUUUGAAACUGUUUCCCUUGAGUGUCGGAGAGGUA